UACGUAGGGGGCUAGCGUUGUCCGGAAUCAUUGGGCGUAAAGAGCGUGUAGGCGGUCCGGUAAGUCCGCUGUGAAAGUCGGGGGCUCAACCCUCGAAUGCCGGUGGAUACUGUCGGGCUAGAGUGCGGAAGAGGCGAGUGGAAUUCCUGGUGUAGCGGUGAAAUGCGCAGAUAUCAGGAGGAACACCGAUUGCGAAGGCAGCUCGCUGGGACGUAACUGACGCUGAGACGCGAAAGCGUGGGGAGCAAACAGG
rnacentral:rRNA from 1 species